GUCUAUGGCCAUACCACCCUGAAUGCGCCCGAUCUCGUAAGCUAAGCAGGGUCGGGCCUGGUUAGUACUUGGAUGGGAAGAGUAUGGAAAAUAUACC
rnacentral:rRNA from 1 species